rnacentral:misc_RNA from 1 species
GUGAAUCAUCAAAUCUUUGAACGCAAAUUGCACUUCUUGGUAUUCCGAGGAGUAUACAUGCUUGAGGGUCAGUUAAAAAAAAUAGUGAAUCAUUGAUGUUGCGGAUUUGGGUCUUCAGAUUUUAUAAAUUGGUUAACUAAAAUUAAUAUGGUUAUGUAAUGUGAAGCGUACAAAUAAUAUAGUCGCUAAUCAUCUAUGCUUCUUACAUUACAACUAUUCGACUAGGUAUUUAGUUGGCGUAUAAAUA